rnacentral:rRNA from 1 species
CCUACGGGGGGCAGCAGUGAGGAAUAUUGGUCAAUGGGCGAGAGCCUGAACCAGCCAAGUCGCGUGAGGGAGUACUGCCCUAUGGGUUGUAAACCUCUUUUGUCGGGGAGCAAAAGCCGGACGUGUCCGGCUGUGAGAGUACCCGAAGAAAAAGCAUCGGCUAACUCCGUGCCAGCAGCCGCGGUAAUAAGGAGGAUGCGAGCGUUAUCCGGAUUUAUUGGGUGUAAAGCGCGCGUAGGCGGUAUGUCAAGUCAAGGGUGAAAUCCCCGGGCUCAACGUUGGAACUGCCUUUGAAACUGGCAAACUGGAGUGUGUGAGAGGAUAGUGGAAUUCCAGGUGUAGGGGUGAAAUCCGUAGAUAUCUGGAGGAACAUCAGUGGCGAAGGCGACUAUCUGGCACAUAACUGACGCUGAGGAGCGAAAGCGUGGGUAGCAAACAGGAUUAGAUACCCGAGUAGUC